rnacentral:rRNA from 1 species
AGAGUUUGAUCCUGGCUCAGGAUGAACGCUGGCGGCGUGCCUAAUACAUGCAAGUCGAGCGAACGGACGAGAAGCUUGCUUCUCUGAUGUUAGCGGCGGACGGGUGAGUAACACGUGGAUAACCUACCUAUAAGACUGGGAUAACUUCGGGAAACCGGAGCUAAUACCGGAUAAUAUUUUGAACCGCAUGGUUCAAAAGUGAAAGACGGUCUUGCUGUCACUUAUAGAUGGAUCCGCGCUGCAUUAGCUAGUUGGUAAGGUAACGGCUUACCAAGGCAACGAUGCAUAGCCGACCUGAGAGGGUGAUCGGCCACACUGGAACUGAGACACGGUCCAGACUCCUACGGGAGGCAGCAGUAGGGAAUCUUCCGCAAUGGGCGAAAGCCUGACGGAGCAACGCCGCGUGAGUGAUGAAGGUCUUCGGAUCGUAAAACUCUGUUAUUAGGGAAGAACAUAUGUGUAAGUAACUGUGCACAUCUUGACGGUACCUAAUCAGAAAGCCACGGCUAACUACGUGCCAGCAGCCGCGGUAAUACGUAGGUGGCAAGCGUUAUCCGGAAUUAUUGGGCGUAAAGCGCGCGUAGGCGGUUUUUUAAGUCUGAUGUGAAAGCCCACGGCUCAACCGUGGAGGGUCAUUGGAAACUGGAAAACUUGAGUGCAGAAGAGGAAAGUGGAAUUCCAUGUGUAGCGGUGAAAUGCGCAGAGAUAUGGAGGAACACCAGUGGCGAAGGCGACUUUCUGGUCUGUAACUGACGCUGAUGUGCGAAAGCGUGGGGAUCAAACAGGAUUAGAUACCCUGGUAGUCCACGCCGUAAACGAUGAGUGCUAAGUGUUAGGGGGUUUCCGCCCCUUAGUGCUGCAGCUAACGCAUUAAGCACUCCGCCUGGGGAGUACGACCGCAAGGUUGAAACUCAAAGGAAUUGACGGGGACCCGCACAAGCGGUGGAGCAUGUGGUUUAAUUCGAAGCAACGCGAAGAACCUUACCAAAUCUUGACAUCCUUUGACAACUCUAGAGAUAGAGCCUUCCCCUUCGGGGGACAAAGUGACAGGUGGUGCAUGGUUGUCGUCAGCUCGUGUCGUGAGAUGUUGGGUUAAGUCCCGCAACGAGCGCAACCCUUAAGCUUAGUUGCCAUCAUUAAGUUGGGCACUCUAAGUUGACUGCCGGUGACAAACCGGAGGAAGGUGGGGAUGACGUCAAAUCAUCAUGCCCCUUAUGAUUUGGGCUACACACGUGCUACAAUGGACAAUACAAAGGGCAGCGAAACCGCGAGGUCAAGCAAAUCCCAUAAAGUUGUUCUCAGUUCGGAUUGUAGUCUGCAACUCGACUACAUGAAGCUGGAAUCGCUAGUAAUCGUAGAUCAGCAUGCUACGGUGAAUACGUUCCCGGGUCUUGUACACACCGCCCGUCACACCACGAGAG